AAAAAAAAUCCAAUUAUAGCACAAAUCUCUCAGCAGGGGUCAGUGUAGAAUAAGAAUAGCCAAAGUUAAUGGACAUGACACCGGCAAGAUUAAUGCCUAAAGGGUUUCGAAAGUUGUAUGAUGCAGAUUUCAUUAACAUUUUAAUUGUAAUGUAUCUUUUUAAUCUUCUCUCACCCUAAUGGUUUUAUAUCCCCCCCAAAAGAAAGAAAAAAGAAAGACAAAAAAAACUGCUGACAACAACAAAAAGUACCAAUAUACAAAAUUUAACAAAGGCGCUGAGCAGCGCGAUGGAAACGAAAUUAAAUGAGCAAAAACUAUGUUCACCGGGUGAUUUUUAACAGCGCGAGAGUCGGAACGCAGCAGAGACCGGCCCUUUCUCCCUUCUCGGCACAGAGACGCCGACGGCCAGGACAGGAGACAGGCAGAUGCCCAGAGCUAGGGUGGGGAGCCCCGUGGGACCCGCGACAACGCCCUCGGCUCCUGACCCCGCGCCACAGCGAGCAGGCCUCCUGCAAAGACCACCCUGCAGCUUGGCAGGCCCCACCAGCCGGUCUCCAGCCAGCGGCCAGGAGGGGGGCUGUGGGGGGAGGCCCUCUUCCAGAAAAUGCCAGCAGAAGCCCCUGGCACAGUGUGGAUGGGGAGGGGACAUCUAGGGGUGUCACCAUAACGAAGGGAGCAUUUUGUGGGGCAAGGGCUAGGGUUGCAGACAAGCAGGCAACUGCUUGCUUGGGUGGCUCUGGCUGACGGGGCAGCCGCAUAGCAUGGCCUCCGACUUCCAAAAAUGAAGAAGUACAUUUGGCCCUGACGACAGAGGGCCCAGGUUUUUAUUUUCAAUCAACAAACGCUCCUAGAGCACCACACCUGCGCCUGCUGCUGUACCUGAUGCUUCGCUCCAAAGCCAGCUCCCCUCAGUACCCCCACGCCAGGGCCAGCCCACCCUGGAGGACUCAGUGGCUAGGCCUGAUGCUGGCCGUGGGGGCCGGCCAGCCUGGGCCUGGGACACAGCCCCACAGCCAGGCUCACAGCUUACCCCAGUGACUAUAUAUGGGCACUUUCAGGCCCCUGCGGUCCCCGCCCCCGGCCCUGCCUGCCUCCCAGGCACACGGGCAGACACUGGGCGGGGCCCAGGAGUUCCCGGCCCAUCCAUGGCCAUGUGCCCUCCCAGAUGCCAGGGCCCAGGGCCAAGGGGGAGGGGGAAGAUUCCUUCAGAGACCCAGAGCCAGCCUCUCCUCCGUGGGACCAGAGACCAGAGAAACAAACACCUCACAGAAAAGUGUACCUCCGUCCUCCCGGAGCCUGAGAAGCAGCCUCCCCUUAAAGGGAUACGAACCCCUCUCACGUCUUGGUCCACCUGCAGGGAGGGAGCAUCUCCAGAGGCCCCGAGGCGCGGCCUGCUCACCUUCAGCCUCCCAGCAGGGAAUAAAGAAGCUACUAUGUAGUGUUACAACACACGGGCCAGGACGGGGCUCAGAGAUGCUAAGUUACCCACCCAAGGUCACACAGCCUUGGCUAGGAUGUGAUCUGAGAGACCCCUCAGAGGCCCUGCUCCUGAGGCCUCCUGGCCUGGAGAAGCUGCAGGCAGGGCAGGCCGGGGAGAGCCCAGGGUCACAGCAGAACCCCCCCUCACCAAUUCCUCCUGCUCAGAUACACUCCCAGGCCCAGGGAAAGGUCAGCGCCCUGCCGUCCUUGUCCCCCUGAGGGCUGCCCCCACUCUGAGGAUGCCAACCCAGAGACAGCCACCAGGGAGCCGCGCUGCAAAGUUCAUGUCCCAAACACUGCGUCUGCCCUGCCAGGCCCUCUGAGACCCUCACCCACAAAGCACCUGCUUCCAAACCCAAAAGCCAGAGGCCAGGCCGGAGGAAGCCCAGCUCCCAGGAGCAGGCAGCUGCAGGUGACACAAUGAGGGAGCCCUGGCCAGGCGGGAGCAUAUUUUGCAAAUGAUCUCAUCGAGAGCCAGGCCUGGUGAGAGCGAGGAUUUGCUAAAAGAGAAACAGAGGUCGCCAGGAUCCCUGCUGCUCAGGAGGCUGGGCGGCGGGAGUGGCGCCUCAGGCCUGCUGACUGAACGCAUCCCGGCGGCCGCACCCCGAGCCCGGAGGUUGAAGACGGGGGUGGGAUGUAACCCUUUGGGGUCUCGGGACACAAGAAAAGGGAGUGGGACCUCCGGUGGAGGGGUUGGGGGGCGGAGGACACACAGGACACACCUCUGAACCGGGGUGCAGGCCCAAAGAGAGAUGCUGGCUCUAACCCUAAGUCCCAGCCCCACCUGGAAGCACCUGAGUGCCAGGCUCCUCACCUUGGGCAGAAGCCGGGGGUGCCAGGAGAGCCACGUGAAUGAGGCGCUUGGAGAGGCCUGGGGAGGACCCAGAACACCGGCCGGCCGGGCUGUGCUCUCUGCAGACCCUGCAGGCGGCCGGGCCUGGCCGGCCCCAGGAGAGAUGCUGAAGCCCCUCACCAGCCCCGAGUCAGACCCCAGACCCCCCAGACCUCACAAGCUCCCGAAGUGGGGUUGGCUCUGGGUGCCGCUCACCGGGAACACCUCUGGGUCCAGCAGGGGCUGGUGGCACCUAUCUCUGUGUACAGAUAUGUGCCCCUCACGGUGGCACAGCACAGGCACUGCACCCCUUCAAAAGGCCAGCACUGACGGCCAGGGCCAUUGAUCCAGGGCACUCCUGGGGGAUGCUGGCCCUGGGAAAGAGCCAGCCCAGGCCAGCAACACCCUCCCGAGCUGGAAGGUGGCUUGCUUUGUCCCAAGAACCCAGGCCCAGCCCAGCUCCCCAAGUCUGCCCCUCCCUCUGGGGUCUGCCGGAGGCCCUGCUUUUCAGGGCACACAUGAGGCUGGUGAGUUGGGGGCGAGGCCUGGACGGGGCUGCUGCUCAGGCUCUAACAAUUCAGCACGUGGCCCCCACCCCGCCCCAGCCAGGGCAGCUCGUCCCGCACCCCCAAAACCCAGCAGGACAACAGAACCCAGGGGCCGGCCGGGGGGUGGGGCAGGCCGGGCAGAGCCCAGGCAGGAGAGGGUAGGGGAGCUGCAAGGGGGCAGGGUGGGGUGGGCUUCAGGGGGAGGCACAGGGAGGAUGUGCUGCCUGGGAACAUCCUUGAAAGGAUCAAAGACGUUGUUCUGAUAUUCCGUCCCAGGAGGGGUACCAGGCCCACCCCAGCCGGGGCCGCCGGGCCGCCAGGCAGAGCCCGAGAGGCAAAGGUGCCAGAGGAACCCAGGCUGUGCACGCCAGCUCAGCGCUUGCCAUGGGCAUCCCUCUCACAUGAACGCAGCUCAUGUUUUAGCUGGAAAACAGAGAGAGGUUUGGAGGAUUCUAAUAAAAGUCACCCGGGAGCCCCCUGCCGGGGGGCCCCUCUGGGUGUCCCCUCGCGGCCAUGAUAAAGGGCCGAGGGCUCUGCCAGGCAGCCCCAGCACAGGCAUCUUCUCCUGGCCCGGGAUCCUGCAGAAGAGCACAAGGGCUGCAGAGCAGAGGCCGGACGACGCCAGCUCUCAGAGUCAGCACCAACCCCGUCAGGGUGACCACUGGGGACCCAUCCACGCCACAGAGAGGUGACAGGUGAUACGCGUCCUGCGUCUCUGCUCCUUCCAGCCAGCUCCCCAGAACAGCAGGGCCAACCACCCUGGGCCUGGCCUCCUCCUGCUUCCUCCACACAGGCUCUGGACUCAGGCUCCGGCCGAGCCGAGGUACCACCCAACCGUGGAAUGACCGACGGGAGAGCGUCCGCCUGGGGCCUCCUGGGAGGGAUGGGCGGCACAGACGGGGGCGCAGGGGGAAGGCGCUUCGGACAGUGGAUGGCAGUGCCACGGCCUGACCGUCCCCAACUCCCUCCUCCCGCCCAGCCUCGUUUCCUCAUCUCUAAAAUGGAGCCAAGAGGCAGACCCGGGUCCUGGAGUCCUUGGGGGCUUAACCACCCGCCCGCCCUGAGCACUGAGAACCCGGUCCUUUGUUCUGGGGCGACCUGCAGGGAGCCAGGGGAGAGGGGACAGGCGCUCAAGAGAGGAAGCCGAGAAGCAGGGGUUGGGAAGGGGAGACCUAGAGAGAGACCCAGACCAGACCAGACCAGACCAGGGUGCUCAGAAGACCAGCUCAACCAGAUGGCAGCCCAGGAAGGGUGCGCCCCCUCCCGCCCCCACCACACAGGACAGGCUCUGUCCGAACGCACCAGCAGGGGACGGGUGGCUGGGUGCCCAACGGGUCCCAAGAAACGACGCCGGAAAGAAAGCCCAGCUGCCCGUGGGGGCCAAACAUUCCCCAUCCAGGCCGGGAGAAGGAGGAUCCCAGGACGAUGCACAGCCUGCAGCCCAGACCCAGGACCGGCCCACCGCAGAUCCACAGGUUUAAAGGGCACCGGCGAGAGCUGGCAUCACGGGCCCCAAGACCAAACUUCUGAGAAGCCCGGAAGAGGGGGUCCCGGAGGUGACCUCUGACCUCAUGACCCCCCCAACACCACCCCUGCCGACCACGGAAGGGUUUGAGUCCCCGACCAUGCGGGGUGGGGGG
ensembl:lncRNA